UGCAGUCGAGCGAGAAGCACUUCGGUGCGAGUACAGCGGCGGACGGGUGAGUAACGCGUAGGAAUCUACCCAGUAGUGGGGGACAACAUGGUGAAAACCAUGCUAAUACCGCAUACGCCCUAAGGGGGAAAGCGGGGGAUCUUCGGACCUCGCGCUAUUGGAUGAGCCUGCGUAGGAUUAGCUUGUUGGUGAGGUAAGAGCUCACCAAGGCGACGAUCCUUAGCUGGUCUGAGAGGAUGAUCAGCCACACUGGGACUGAGACACGGCCCAGACUCCUACGGGAGGCAGCAGUGGGGAAUAUUGCGCAAUGGGCGAAAGCCUGACGCAGCCAUGCCGCGUGUGUGAAGAAGGCCUUAGGGUUGUAAAGCACUUUCAAUUGGGAAGAAAAGCUGAUGGUUAAUAGCCCUCAGCCCUGACAUUACCUUUAGAAGAAGCACCGGCUAACUCCGUGCCAGCAGCCGCGGUAAUACG
rnacentral:rRNA from 1 species